UGGGGAAUAUUGGACAAUGGGGGAAACCCUGAUCCAGCCAUGCCGCGUGAGUGAUGAAGGCCUUCGGGUUGUAAAGCUCUUUCGCACGCGACGAUGAUGACGGUAGCGUGAGAAGAAGCCCCGGCUAACUUCGUGCCAGCAGCCGCGGUAAUACGAAGGGGGCAAGCGUUGUUCGGAAUUACUGGGCGUAAAGGGCGCGUAGGCGGUGCGCUAAGUCAGAUGUGAAAGCCCUGGGCUCAACCCGGGAAUUGCAUUUGAUACUGGCGUGCUCGAAUCCGGGAGAGGUUGGUGGAAUUCCCAGUGUAGAGGUGAAAUUCGUAGAGAUUGGGAAGAACACCGGUGGCGAAGGCGGCCAACUGGACCGGUAUUGACGCUGAGGCGCGAAAGCGUGGGGAGCAAACAGGAUUAGAUACCCCCGUAGUCC
rnacentral:rRNA from 1 species